UACAUGCAGUCGAACGGUACAGGAAGAGGUUGGCUUCUUCGGUGACGAGUGGCGGAGGGGUGAGUAGUGUGGGGGAAACUGCGUGGUGGGGGGGGAUAUCUAGUGGAAACGGUCUCUUAUACCGCAUAGUGUCGCGAGACCAAAGGGGGGGACCUUCGGGCCUCGUGCCCUCAGAUGUGCCCAGAUGGGAUUAUCUUGUGGGGGGGGUAACGGCUCCUCUGGGACACUAUCCCUAUGUGGUCUGAGAGGAUGACCACCCACUGUGGCUCUGACACGCGGUCCACACUCCUAGGGGAGGCCGCUGGGGGGAAUUUUGCACUGUGGGCGCAAGCGUGAUGCACCCGUGCCGCGUGUAUGAAAAGGGUCUUCGGGUUGAAGAAUUUUUUCCGCGGGGAAGAAGGUAGUGAAGUUAAUACCUUUGCUCUUUGACUUUACCCGCAAAAAAAACCGCGGCUAUCUCCGUGCCAGCCCCCGCGGUAAUACAGAGGGUGCAAGCGUUAAUCAAAUUUACUGGGCGUAAAGCACACGCGGGCGGUUUGUUAACUCAUAUGUGAUAUCCCCGGGCUCAACCUGGGAACUGCAUCUGAUACUGGAGCGCUAGUGUCUUGUAGAGGGGGUGUAGAAUUCCAUGUGUAGCUGUGAAAUGUGUAGAGAUCUAGAAGAAUACCUGUGGCGAAGGCGGCCCCCUGGACAAAGACUGACUCUCGUGUGCGAAAGCGUGGGGAGCAAACAAGAUUAUAUACCCUGAUAGUCCACGCCAUACACGAUGUCCAUUUGGAUGUUGUGCCCUUGAGGCGUGUCUUCCAGAUCUCACGCUUUAACUCCAACCCCCUGGAGUGUACGGUCGCCAAUGAUAAAUCUCAUAUGAAUUGACGGGCGCCCGCACAAGCUGUAGAGCAUGUGGUUUUUAAUUCGAUGCAACGCGAAAAUCCUUACCUGGUCGUGAUCAUCCACAGAACUUUUCAGAUAAUGAUGUGGUGCCUUCGGGAACUGUUAAAACCAGGUGCUGCAUGGCUGUCGUCAGCUCGUGUUGAAAAAUGUUGGGUUAAGUCCCACAACGAGCGCAACCCUUAUCCUUUGUUGCCAGCGGUUCGGCCCGGCACUCAAAGGAAACCGGCAGUGAUAAAUUGGAAGAAGGUGGGGAUGACGUCAAGUCAUCAUGGCCCUUCCGACGAGGGCCACACACGUGCUCUAAUGGCGCAUAAAAAGAAAAGCGACCUCGCGAGAACAAGUAAACCUCAUAAACUCCGUCGUAGUCCGGAUUGGAGUCUGCAACUCGACUCCAUGAAGUCGGAAUCGCUAGUAAUCGUGGAUCAGAAUGCCACGGUGAAUACGUUCCCGGGCCUUGUACACACCGCCCGUCACACCAUGGGAGUGGGUUGCAAAAGAAGUAGGUAGCUUAACCUUCGGAGGGCGCUACCACUGA
rnacentral:rRNA from 1 species